AUUGAACGCUGGCGGCAGGCCUUACACAUGCAAGUCGAACGGCAGCACGGGAGCAAUCCUGGUGGCGAGUGGCGAACGGGUGAGUAAAGUAUCGGAACGUACCUUUCAGUGGGGGAUAACGUAGCGAAAGUUACGCUAAUACCGCAUAUUCUGUGAGCAGGAAAGCAGGGGAUCGCAAGACCUUGCGCUGAUGGAGCGGCCGAUAUCAGAUUAGCUAGUUGGUGAGGUAAAGGCUCACCAAGGCGACGAUCUGUAGCGGGUCUGAGAGGAUGAUCCGCCACACUGGGACUGAGACACGGCCCAGACUCCUACGGGAGGCAGCAGUGGGGAAUUUUGGACAAUGGGGGGCAACCCUGAUCCAGCCAUGCCGCGUGAGUGAAGAAGG
rnacentral:rRNA from 1 species